rnacentral:rRNA from 1 species
AUUGAACGCUGGCGGCAUGCCUUACACAUGCAAGUCGAACGGUAACGGGUCCUUCGGGAUGCCGACGAGUGGCGAACGGGUGAGUAAUAUAUCGGAACGUGCCCAGUAGUGGGGGAUAACUGCUCGAAAGAGCAGCUAAUACCGCAUACGACCUGAGGGUGAAAGGGGGGGAUCGCAAGACCUCUCGCUAUUGGAGCGGCCGAUAUCAGAUUAGCUAGUUGGUGGGGUAAAGGCCUACCAAGGCAACGAUCUGUAGUUGGUCUGAGAGGACGACCAGCCACACUGGGACUGAGACACGGCCCAGAGUCCUACGGGAGGCAGCAGUGGGGAAUUUUGGACAAUGGGCGCAAGCCUGAUUCAGCAAUGCCGCGUGCAGGAAGAAGGCCUUCGGGUUGUAAACUGCUUUUGUACGGAACGAAAAGCCCCGGGUUAAUACCCUGGGGUCAUGACGGUACCGUAAGAAUAAGCACCGGCUAACUACGUGCCAGCAGCCGCCGUAA